AAAGUCCAGCCCUCCCCACUUAGUCCCAGGAGGGCGGGAGGGAGGGUGGUUGGCGUUAGUGACCUUCUUGGGAGGCAGGACUUGCUCAUGCUCAGGUCUCUGCGGCUGUGGACACCAAAGGGUUAACCAGCUUGUUCCUUCUCAAGGGCAUUGUGUGGCCAAGGUACCCCACCAGCCCAAGUGUACCCCAACUGCACCUUGGAGCACCCCUACAAAGCACCCCUCCAACACAUUCCCAACUGUCCUCACCAUAUCAGCUCUGAUCUGACUCUGUCCCUCCCACUCAGUCCCAAACUGGCCUCACUCCUAACACGCAGCUGGAGAAAAGAAUGCGUGUUACCAGAAAUUCUAAACCAACCCCUUCCUCACUUCCAUGUUGCGGUGGAACUCUGGGAAAUACCCAAGUAUCAGUUCUCAAAAAAUUACGAGAGGCCUGUGAGAGUACUGUCCUCAAAGACUAAUGUGAACCACCGUACCCGGCCAGAAUAUAAAAUC
rnacentral:lncRNA from 10 species